AUUGAACGCUGGCGGAAUGCUUUACACAUGCAUGUCGAACGGCAGCACGGACUUCGGUCUGGUGGCGAGUGGCGAACGGGUGAGUAACAUAUCGGAACGUAUCCAAUAAUGGGGGAUAACGAGUCGAAAGAUUCGCUAAUACCGCAUACGCCCUACGGGGGAAAGCUGGGGACCUUUGGGCCUGGCGUUAAUGGAGCGGCCGAUAUCUGAUUAGCUAGUUGGUGAGGUAAAGGCUCACCAAGGCGACGAUCAGUAGCUGGUCUGAGAGGACGACCAGCCACACUGGAACUGAGACACGGUCCAGACUCCUACGGGAGGCAGCAGUGGGGAAUUUUGGACAAUGGGCGCAAGCCUGAUCCAGCCAUUCCGCGUGAGUGAAGAAGGCCUUCGGGUUGUAAAGCUCUUUCGCAAGGGAAGAAAACUUAGCCACUAACAUUGGUUGAGGUUGACGGUACCUUGAUAAGAAGCACCGGCUAACUACGUGCCAGCAGCCGCCGUAAUAC
rnacentral:rRNA from 1 species